CCUAAGGGACACUUGCUGGCUGCUCGGUGCUGCCAGGAUCCAGACAGUCCGGUUUCCUUUUCUGUGCAAGUCAGUCAGACCUCCUCAACUCCCCAACUCCCCGAGCCCCCGUCACUCCUACCUCCGCCUAAUUACCAAACCUAAAACCCCACUCCACUAAUUAGCCACAGCAGACCCAAGAACUGUGAGUAAAGACAGGAGCCCUAACGCUGCAGGAUGGAGAAAGGUGAACAGGAAACAGAAGGUGCCCAUGGAGGAGGUAUAUGACAUCUGUCAGGAUCCAGGGUGGGUGGAGGAUUCAGCGCCCCCCCCCCACACCCCCCCCCACCGCCGGCUGAGGGUCACCCAUCGCACCGCAGUCGCUGAAGUUGUCACGACACCCUGACACUUCCUUGGCAAUGGUGGCCGCAAGCCGGACAGCCUCGGACGUUCAAGACACACACGUCAGCUGCCACGGCAAGGUCGACAAACAAACAAACAAACAAACAAAGAAACAGAAGGAAUUAGUAGAGAGAAAAAACA
ensembl:lncRNA